rnacentral:rRNA from 1 species
UACGUAGGGUGCGAGCGUUAAUCGGAAUUACUGGGCGUAAAGCGUGCGCAGGCGGCUUUGCAAGACAGAUGUGAAAUCCCCGGGAUCAACCUGGGAACUGCAUUUGUGACUGCAAGGCUAGAGUACGGCAGAGGGGGAUGGAAUUCCGCGUGUAGCAGUGAAAUGCGUAGAUAUGCGGAGGAACACCAAUGGCGAAGGCAAUCCCCUGGGCCUGUACUGACGCUCAUGCACGAAAGCGUGGGGAGCAAACAGG